GAGGCAGAGAGAGAGAAAGAUUGAUUUUUCUUCUUGGAGAAAGCACACACAAGCACGUGUUUUCCUGUGUGCGGGGAGAGACAGAGCAACAGGCAGGGCCGUGUGCACACACCCGUAACAUGUGCUACCUGGGGAGUGAGCAGAGAUAAGGGCCUCCGAGAGAGACUUUCCUCAUUGACAGACACGUUGUCUCUGAAGACAAGCAAUGCCGGCAGGUUUCUGGAAACUGAGAAAGAGUGCCUGGGCUUUCCAGGGGUGCACCUUUCCUGAAGGAAGGAAAGACAUUUUGCCUGGAGGAACAAACCAACCCAAAUAAACAAAGAUGAUUUUGCAUUUCAGAAGGCAGAUCCUUAGCAAAUAAAACAGAGGCCGCGCGGCCUAGAGCUGGUCCUGAUAGAGAGGCAUCUUUCUACCCACACAGGAGAGCACGGCUCAGAGAGCAGUAGUUUUCCAUCCUGAAAAAAAAGAUACAUCUCCUCAUUCUGCUAGAGAGAGAGGAUUGGGCCUCACACACACAUACAGCUGUGUCUGUACAGACACAGCUACCUGCAAGUCUGGCCCUGCAGACCAGGCAGGUCAGAGUGUGUGGGUCUCCUGGUGCUAUUUAGAAAUCAGUGUGUUCUACCCAGAGGCAGAAGGUAGGGAGGGGGAGAAGCACUUUAUCUAGAGAGGCACUCACAUAUGCAUACACACUCACACACACAUAUGUACAUAUACUUUUUGAUAAACUGAAAAUGGCAAAAAUGUGUGUGUUUCAGCCCAAUUCAUUCUUGGUUAAAUAAAAAGAAUCAUUUCUGCCUAAAGACCCACCUGUGUGUGUGUGUGUGUGUGUGUGUGCAUGCUGUGAAAGAGAGACAGAGAUAAAAAAGAAACACAGAGAUUGAGAGAGAUGGAAAGAGACAGAGACAGAAAUAAGGAGGCGGAGACAGAGAGACACAGAAGAAACACAGAGACAGAGACAGGGAGAAAGACAGACACAGACAGAAAAACAGAGAUAAAAGAAAAACACAGAGAGAGAAAUAGAGAAAGAGAUAGAGGCAGAAAGAUAAAGAGAGAUAAAAAAGAGAUAGAGAGGCAGAGAUGGACACAGACAGAGAAACAGAGACAAAGACAGAAACAGAGACAGAGAGAAGGACAGAUGACAAAGAGAGAUGGAAAAAAGAGACAGACACAAAGACCGAAAUAGACACAGAGACAGAGACACAGAGAAAAACAGAAAGACAGAGACAGAGACAAAGAGACACAGAGAACAGAGACAGAGAAAGGCAGAAACAGCAAGGCAGAGACUGAAAGACAGAGAUGGAGAGACAGAAAGAAAUGGAGAGAGAGAGGUUUUUCUGCCUUCCGCCAACAGAGAGAAGUGGACAGGCUGCAGCUUUAGAAGGGAGGCCCAAGCAGGGAUGGGUGUGUGACCUACUUCCCAACACUGAACUGCAGAAGAAAAUCUGCUAGGAAGCUUCUGGAAGAGCUUAUCCCCAAGAAUAAAGAGAGAUUUAUAAAGAGAAAGAUCUUUGGCUUGUACCUCCUUCUUUCUUGUGUAGGAUACUAUGGUGUAAGCACAUGAUGCCUGGAGCUAUGGCAACCUUCUUGUGACUGUGAAGAUGGCAAGGCAGAAACAUGCAAAACACAGGAGCCC
rnacentral:lncRNA from 10 species